AUGGCUGCUGGGAGCUGUAGUUUUGCAGAGUUACUUGAUUGUAGCAUGGACAGCGGAGUGGUGCCGGAUUCUGGCGAGAAGAACAGUGUCUGCCGCUGCUGCCUUCUGUGAUUUUUGUCUGGCAUCGGACGACGACAGCACAGGUCAGCAGCGGCAGAUUGGGAUGCCCCCUCCCCUCCCGAUGACUUCAGUGGCCGUGCUCCGCCCCACUUUGGCCGAUUCCUAUAUCCGCGGCUGCGGCGAUAUGAGCUUCUGCGCAUGCGCAGAACAGAAGCUCAUUCAAACUGGAGCCGCGGCAAGUGAAGCGAGUGUGUUCUGAGGCAAGUGACCAGGGACAGCGAGCGCACAGAGGGGCCAGGCAAACGGUGUAACAGCAGGGGGUGCCCUGGAGCCAUACAAGACUUGGUCCCUAGGACCCAGCAGCCUGCAGCAACUGGAAUCGAGACCUUGUCCUCAGACGGAAGCAUGUGCAGGACUGAAACCCUUACAGAAUACAGUCCCUCAAUUUUUCCUGGAACAAACAUUUAAUGAGGCAAAUGUAUUAAAGCUUGGACUGCUCCUUGGAAUUAGAGAAAGACUGAAAAUAUGUACAGGGCCAUGAAAAUGUUUUUGCCCCUUUCCUGACUUCUUCUGUCAUUGCAUAUUUGCCACACUAAUUUUUUUAUAAAAGACAAAGACAACCUGAGCAAACACAAAAUACAGUUUUAAAUGAUCAUUUCUUUUAUUGAACUAAAAAAGUUGUCCAACACCUACAGUAUAUCACUCAUGUGAAAAAUUGGCCCCAUCACCCUAAGCUUAAGGACUAGAUGUUUCUGAUAACUGUAUAUCAGUCUUUCACGUCACUGUGGAGGAAUUUUGUUCCACUCUUUUUUUUUUUCUUUUAAAAAAAGCUUUAAAUCAGCCACAUUGGAGAGUUUUCCAGCAUGAACUGCCCAUUUAUGGUCCCGCCACAGCAUCUCAAUUGAAUUCAAGUCAGGACUUUGACUAGGUCAUUCCAAAAUCUUAAUUUUGUUCCUUUUGAGCCAUUGAGAGGUUGGAUUGCUCUGGUGCUUCUGAUGAUUGCCCUUCAGAUUACUGAUUGAUAACCAGACAUUCUGGUAGAGAGAGGAAUUCAUGAUUCCACCAGUUAUUUAUGGCAAGUUGAACAAGUCCUGAAGCAGCAAAGCAUCCCCAUACCAUCACAGUAUCAACACCAUGUUGGACUGUUGGCCCGAUGUUUUUUAUUGUGGAAUGCUCUAUUAGCUUUUCGCUAGAUAUACUGUAAUGGGAUCUACGUCUUAUGUCUUCCAAAAUGUUACAUUUUUGACUUAUCAAGCCACGUAACAUUACCCCAGCAGGCUUGUAGGUCAACGUGUUUUUUUGGCAAAUGUGAGAUGAGCCUUAGCUCAUGGUUUGCAGUUUUUGCCUUGCAACUCGCCCAUGUAUACAAUUUUAUCUCAGUCUCUUUCCUAUGGUGGAAUCCUGAACAAUGACAUUAAAUGAGGUGAGCGAGGCCUGCAGUUCCUUAGAUGUUCAUAAAAUUUAUUUUGUAACUUCCUAAAUGAGUCAUUGAUGCACUCUUCGAGGAAUUUUGGUAGGCCAGCCACUCCUGGGAAGAUUCAUCACUGUUCCAACUUCUCUCCAUUUGGAGUUCAUAGCUCUCACUAAGGUUCGUUGGAUUGCCAGAGCCUUAGAAAUGGCUUUGUAAUUCUUUCCAGACUGGUAUAUUUCAAUAAAUUUCUUUCUCAUCUCAUUCUCAAA